rnacentral:lncRNA from 1 species
UAACUUUCAGUGGUGGGGGCUCCUGGUACACAUACUGUGGUAUGAACGCUUCAUUGAUGGCUGGUUGUUUCGGAGCCUCUCUCGUCUCCUGUGCGUCAAGCAGCUUCUUCAACUGCUCUUGCAGAGCUCGAAUUUGGAUUUGCUCUGGAGUAGCCAUCGUAUUAUCCUCAACUUGAUUCUGUUGCUUCUUAAGAUUGCGCAAAGUCUUGUCGAUUUCAGGGUCGAACUCAAAAAGAGGAUUUCCUUGAGAUCUAGUGUUCAUACGCAACCUACAGAAAAACAACUUAUAAAAGUUAGAAAAGAAAAAUAAAAACAAAAAAAACUUGCAGUACUAUAAAGUCCUAUUGGAAAUAUUAAAGCAAAAUCUAAACAGUCCCCGGCAACGGCGCCAAAAAGUUGAUCACUAUUUUAUUAGCGACAAAAGUACCGCAACUAACACGGUGUAAUCGUAGUAUAAACAGCAAUCGGAUAUC